rnacentral:rRNA from 1 species
GGGUUGUGAGGUUAAGCGACUAAGCGUACACGGUGGAUGCCCUGGCAGUCAGAGGCGAUGAAGGACGUGCUAAUCUGCGAUAAGCGUCGGUAAGGUGAUAUGAACCGUUAUAACCGGCGAUUUCCGAAUGGGGAAACCCAGUGUGAUUCGUCACACUAUCAUUAACUGAAUCCAUAGGUUAAUGAGGCGAACCGGGGGAACUGAAACAUCUAAGUACCCCGAGGAAAAGAAAUCAACCGAGAUUCCCCCAGUAGCGGCGAGCGAACGGGGAGGAGCCCAGAGCCUGAAUCAGU